GUGGGGAAUAUUGGGCAAUGGGGGAAACCCUGACCCAGCAACGCCGCGUGAAGGAAGAAGGCCUUCGGGUUGUAAACUUCUUUGAACAGGGAAGAAACAAAUGACUGUACCUGAAAAACAAGCCACGGCUAACUACGUGCCAGCAGCCGCGGUAAUACGUAGGUGGCAAGCGUUAUCCGGAUUUACUGGGUGUAAAGGGCGUGCAGGCGGUUUCGUAAGUCGGAUGUGAAAUUUCCGGGCUCAACCCGGAGACUGCAUCCGAAACUGCAGAACUUGAGUACUGGAGAGGAUAGUGGAAUUCCUAGUGUAGCGGUAAAAUGCGUAGAUAUUAGGAGGAACACCGGUGGCGAAGGCGACUAUCUGGACAGUAACUGACGCUGAGGCGCGAAAGCGUGGGGAGCAAACAGGAUUAGAAACCCCAGUAGUCC
rnacentral:rRNA from 1 species